AAGUCAAUGAACUAUUUCAAGGAACAAAUAUUUUCAAAGUUUCUGAGAAACUAUUCUAAUGAUACAUACACGAUCCCAUAAAUAUAUACACAUGAAAUAUGUACAUAUCCAAUAAUCUCUAGUCAUCUGUAAGGUCAGUCUCCGAGCGCUGGUGUUGUUGAAUGACCAAAACUGAACAAUUGAUGUUGAAUUCCGAAGAAGCUAGAAGGUCUCCGACUAUCCCAAGCUCUGGACAUUCUUCCCAGUCACUCAAACCUUCAGUUAUGGGUGAAUGACCUCUUCCACCCUUCCCUACAAUCAACAAAGAAAAUCUCUCCCCAGUGCCUCUUAAGGCCUCCAAUGUCUGCGUCCUAUCGUUCACAUACCUGUCCUCGUAUCCAACUUGACCUG
rnacentral:misc_RNA from 1 species